GCGUGGGUGGCGAAAUUGGUAGACGCACUACUUUGAGGUGGUAGCGCCCGAAAGGGUGUGUGAGUUCGAAUCUCAUCCCGCGCA
rnacentral:tRNA from 2 species